GGACGUACUGCCGCGCGGCCGGGGUAAAUGGUAGUGGGGCGGCGUGGUCAGGGUUUUUUGGGGGUAAAGAGUCGGGAGGGGGUUUGGCGCGUCGGGUGUGAAAACCCAAUGGCGUAACCUUGGGCCUGCAUUGGAUACGGGCAAACGAGAGUGGGGUAGGGGAGACUGGAACUCCUGGUGUAGCGGUGGAAUGCGCAGAUAUCAGGAAGAACACCGAUGGCGAAGGCAGGUCUCUGGGCCAUAACUGACGCUGAGGAGCGAAAGCGUGGGGAGCGAACAGGAUUAGAUACCCUGGUAGUC
rnacentral:rRNA from 1 species